rnacentral:lncRNA from 10 species
CGAGAACAUGCUCUGGGAACGGAAAAUGGGUUGGGCGGGGCUCAGAGGCGGGGCUUGGGCUGGGGGUGGGUUUCAGACUCAAGAGGCCAGACCAGCUAGAGGGUGGGUGUCUGACAUGCUGAGGGGGCAGGGGCAGGGCCUGGAGAAUAAGAGUGGCACCUCUCAAGCCCAGGCUCAAGCUCAAGGACAGAGCCCAGGCUCAGGUGAGAAAUCUGCAGUGAAGAAAGGUACAUCCCAAGGGGACACCGACAGGGAUGUUACCCCAUGACACAAGGCCUCGGAGGUGGUCUCCACAUACCAGCGGACCCCCAGAAUCACCCUGCAGGAAAGAGGGAGAAAGUCAGAUACAGAUAGAAACCCAGAGACUGUGUGUGUGUGUGUGUGUGUGUGUGUGUGUGUGUGUGUGUGUGUGACAGAGAGAGAGGUAGAAAGGGACAGAGGUACUUACUGAAAGAUGGAGAGAAAGACUCAGGGACAGAGAGACAGAGAGAGAGACAGUAAGACACACAAAGGCACAGAGAGAGAAUGGUAGAGAGAGAAUAAAGGAGACUCAAAGACACAGAGAUAGGAAUGCCAAGAUGCAGAGGAACAUAGAGAGCAAGAAAGAGAAACAAUUUAAGAAUGGAGACUGAGAGGUGUGGAGAGAGGCAGAGGUGUAGAGACCGA